rnacentral:lncRNA from 1 species
GUCUCUGGUUCAAUGGGCUGCUCGAAGCCAGGACUGGGUAAUUCUUUCCAGACGUCUUGACUUCUCCUUCCCCGCCGUUGUUGCCCUUCUGCCUCCUCCAACUUAAGGGGGUCUUAACAAGAUCUUCUGAGGGGUGGACUUCUUUGGAACUCGACAGGACCUUGAAGACUGGGUUCUUAGUCCUUAUCACAUAUAUGGGCUAUAAUGAAUAAGUCUAAACAGAAAAGUCGAAUAAACUGGAAAUGAUGCUUUCAUCACGUCGCACAAGAAAAACACAUUUGUUGUUUCUCGCCUCUUGUAAUUCAUGACCCAUAAGACAAAAGUAAAAUGUUCUCUGACUGCAAAUGGAUGUAAAAACUGAUUAUACAGCUACACAUUUCUGUCAUCCUCCCAUCUCUACCCCAAAGAAAGAGGAGCUGUUUGGAUCAGAAGAUGACAUCCUUUCACCCAUCCCUUUCAGGUUUUGACAUCCUAAAAUGUACCUUAUGGAACCCAUACCUGUUAUGUUUUCACCUGUACAAGGCAACAGAGAAAACAUGGUAGUUUUUACUUGAGUAGAUGUGACUUAGCAAUAUGUUGUUGCUGACCUCCAUCCCACAGCACAAAACAUAUGUUUAUAUGUCUGACAGACAAAGUAUCCAGAACAAGGAUUUAGUACCUUCAUAAUCCUCUGUAUAUGUGGUUCUAGAACUUUUGGUAAAGAAACUCUUUAUACUCUUAUUAAUUAUUGAGAACCUCAAAAAAAGUUUAUAUGUUAUAUGUAUCAAUAUUUACCACAUUAGACAUUAAAGCUGACUUAAAAAGUUAAAAUACUUAAGUCAUUUGAAGUAAUAAUAAAUGCAGUUACAUACCAACUUAAUAACAUUUUGCGAAAAUAGCUAUUUUUCAAAACCUAAAGUGAGAAAAGUGGCAGUUUUCCAUUUUUGCAAAUCUCUUUGCUGUCUAGCUGAUAGAAGACAGCUGGAUUCUCCUAUUUGCUUUUGCAUUCAAUUGUUGUUUUGAUUGAAGUAUAUGAAAAAAAAUCUGGUGUCAUACACAUAUAUAAUUGGGAAAUGGAAGAGUAUUUACACAGGCUUUUUUAGAUAUUCUUCCUUUAUACUACAUCAAAACUUGAUAAGUUGCAAUGUUGUGAAUUGGCCCAGGGCUUGGCCCUCUGAAGAUUUGCUGAAAAUCACUGACAUGAAGUAGAUUAAUAGGAUAAAAGGCAUAUACAUUUAUUUAAUGUGUAUACACAGCGGCCUUUAGAAUGAAGACCCAAAGAUACAGAAGAAAUUGUCUGUUUUUAUGCUUAAGUUUAACAAAGAAUGGGCAGCCGUGUAGAGAUAGGAUAGGACAAAAAGGGCAUAAUCUAAUGCUAGCUGACUGAGUGAGGAAGCCCAGCAAGGCCUGUCAGUGUCUCCUCAGUAUGAGUGAAUUUUGUGUACUCUGAUAAUACAUUAAAAUCUGU